UUUUCAUUUGUGGUCUGACAUUUCAACACGAGGAAAUUCAGUGCUUUUUUUAAUUUGUGACAUUUUUAUUAUCAAGAUAAAAUCUUUGUUUUAACUUCCAAAGGAAUCAUACAAUAGAAAUCUACAUUAAGUUAUGACUCGCUUGCAGGUUGCGUUACUCAUUUGCUAUAUGUGUUAUGGAUAAGUUUUGGUCUAGGAAUACGUGCGAAAAUGAAAACUACAUCAAAAAAAGAAAACACUGAUGGUCAAAUGGAUUGCGGCAGGGUGGAUGGCAUCAUCAUCAUCAGGCGGAGGAGAUGAAAGGUGAAACGGUUAAGUGCCUGCUCCCGCACUUACCGCAUAAUUAAUAUGGCGAAAUGCAAGCGACUGACAAAGGGACUGAACAAACAGGACAAUAGGCAGGCAGGCAGGACAAUGUGCUGUCAGUGCAUUACCAGCACUCGACAUUUGCAUGUGAUUUACGCACUGUGGCAAUCGCUCAGAACUUGAAAAGCAUAAUUAGAGAUGGGCGAUAUUUUGAGGAACGUAAAAGAUGAGUGUGAAAAUGAAGUGUCGAAAAUA